rnacentral:rRNA from 1 species
AGAGUUUGAUCCUGGCUCAGGAUGAACGCUAGCUACAGGCUUAACACAUGCAAGUCGAGGGGAAACGGCAUUGAGUGCUUGCACUCUUUGGACGUCGACCGGCGCACGGGUGAGUAACGCGUAUCCAACCUUCCCAUUACUGUGGGAUAACCUGCCGAAAGGCAGACUAAUACCGCAUAGUCUUCGAUGACGGCAUCAGAUUUGAAGUAAAGAUUUAUCGGUAAUGGAUGGGGAUGCGUCUGAUUAGCUUGUUGGCGGGGUAACGGCCCACCAAGGCGACGAUCAGUAGGGGUUCUGAGAGGAAGGUCCCCCACAUUGGAACUGAGACACGGUCCAAACUCCUACGGGAGGCAGCAGUGAGGAAUAUUGGUCAAUGGACGGAAGUCUGAACCAGCCAAGUAGCGUGCAGGAUGACGGCCCUAUGGGUUGUAAACUGCUUUUGUAUGGGGAUAAAGUCAAUCACGUGUGAUUGUUUGCAGGUACCAUACGAAUAAGGACCGGCUAAUUCCGUGCCAGCAGCCGCGGUAAUACGGAAGGUCCAGGCGUUAUCCGGAUUUAUUGGGUUUAAAGGGAGCGUAGGCUGGAGAUUAAGUGUGUUGUGAAAUGUAGACGCUCAACGUCUGAAUUGCAGCGCAUACUGGUUUCCUUGAGUACGCACAACGUUGGCGGAAUUCGUCGUGUAGCGGUGAAAUGCUUAGAUAUGACGAAGAACUCCGAUUGCGAAGGCAGCUGACGGGAGCGCAACUGACGCUUAAGCUCGAAGGUGCGGGUAUCAAACAGGAUUAGAUACCCUGGUAGUCCGCACAGUAAACGAUGGAUGCCCGCUGUUGGUACCUGGUAUCAGCGGCUAAGCGAAAGCAUUAAGCAUCCCACCUGGGGAGUACGCCGGCAACGGUGAAACUCAAAGGAAUUGACGGGGGCCCG